rnacentral:rRNA from 1 species
AUUGAACGCUGGCGGCAGGCUUAACACAUGCAAGUCGAGCGGAGAUGAGGUGCUUGCACCUUAUCUUAGCGGCGGACGGGUGAGUAAUGCUUAGGAAUCUGCCUAUUAGUGGGGGACAACAUCCCGAAAGGAAUGCUAAUACCGCAUACGCCCUACGGGGGAAAGCAGGGGAUCUUCGGACCUUGCGCUAAUAGAUGAGCCUAAGUCGGAUUAGCUAGUUGGUGGGGUAAAGGCCUACCAAGGCGACGAUCUGUGGCGGGUCUGAGAGGAUGAUCCGCCACACUGGGACUGAGACACGGCCCAGACUCCUACGGGAGGCAGCAGUGGGGAAUAUUGGACAAUGGGCGGAAGCCUGAUCCAGCCAUGCCGCGUGUGUGAAGAAGGCCUUUUGGUUGUAAAGCACUUUAAGCGAGGAGGAGGCUACCUGGAUUAAUACUCUAGGAUAGUGGACGUUACUUGCAGAAUAAGCACCGGCUAACUCUGUGCCAGCCGCCGCGGUAAGAC